rnacentral:lncRNA from 1 species
CCCCCUCAGUUCUAAAGACUGUUUAAUGAAGUCUCCAAUAUAACAAAAAAGUUCAGGAAUGGGGUUUAGAAUGUGUUUUAGUUUAUUAAAUUCAUCAAGAUGUUGAAAUGAUGGUACAUAGUCUUUUAGAUAAGCCAAAAAAUUAAAACGCAAUGAAAAUUAUGUUAAUGUCACAAUACAACAAGAAAUGGAAUUCGUCAUCUAGGACUCCACAUUUUUUACAUAAUCUUUGUGCUCUUGGAAUGUUUCUGUACCUUCCCAAUUCAAUGCCUAGGGAAU